CCAGACUCCUACGGGAGGCAGCAGUGGGGAAUAUUGCGCAAUGGGCGAAAGCCUGACGCAGCGACGCCGCGUGAGGGAUGAAGGUCUUCGGAUCGUAAACCUCUGUCAGCAGGGAAGAACGGUCACUGUGCUAAUCAGCAGUGAAUUGACGGUACCUGCAAAGGAAGCACCGGCUAACUACGUGCCAGCAGCCGCGGUAAUACGUAGGGGGCAAGCGUUAUCCGGAUUUACUGGGUGUAAAGGGAGCGUAGACGGCAGUGCAAGUCUGGAGUGAAAGGCGGGGGCUCAACCCCCGGACUGCUCUGGAAACUGUACGGCUGGAGUGCAGGAGGGGCAGGCGGAAUUCCUGGUGUAGCGGUGAAAUGCGUAGAUAUCAGGAGGAACACCGGCGGCGAAGGCGGCCUGCUGGACCGUAACUGACGUUGAGGCUCGAAAGCGUGGGGAGCAAACAGGAUUAGAUACCCCCGUAA
rnacentral:rRNA from 1 species